UUAUUAGAGAAAACUAUGAUUAGUUUAGUUUAAUAAAUAAAGCAUUAAUAUUUAGAAGAUUUAAAGUUUACUUUAGUUUAUAGUUUUGGUUUAGUUUAUAGUUUUGUUUUUAGCUUUAGUUAUUUUUUUCUUACUUUAGACAACUUUAUGGAUGAAAUGAGGUGGAUGGGUAAAACAAUUAUUUAGAUAUGUAUAUAUUUAUAUGUUAACAUUAUUUUAUCGAUUAUUAUAUAUUUAUUUAAGUAUAUAUUUGUCUUUAGUGUCAGGUGGAAGUAUAGCUGCAUCUUCUGUUUCGAAUGAAAAUGUGUCAGGUGGAAGUAUAGCUGGUAGGAUUGUGUUUUAUAUUUUAUAUAUUUUGUAUGGAAAAAUAUAUGCAAUAGGUGAAAAAAUUAAUUAAUAAAUAUGACACUAUUGAACUGGUUG